rnacentral:rRNA from 2 species
UUUUAUGGAGAGUUUGAUCCUGGCUCAGGAUGAACGCUGGCGGCGUGCCUAAUACAUGCAAGUCGAGCGAACAGACGAGGAGCUUGCUCCUCUGACGUUAGCGGCGGAC